rnacentral:rRNA from 1 species
GACGAACGCUGGCGGCGUGCCUAAUACAUGCAAGUAGAACGCUGAAGAGAGGAGCUUGCUCUUCUUGGAUGAGUUGCGAACGGGUGAGUAACGCGUAGGUAACCUGCCUUGUAGCGGGGGAUAACUAUUGGAAACGAUAGCUAAUACCGCAUAACAAUGGAUGACACAUGUCAUUUAUUUGAAAGGGGCAAUUGCUCCACUACAAGAUGGACCUGCGUUGUAUUAGCUAGUAGGUGAGGUAAUGGCUCACCUAGGCGACGAUACAUAGCCGACCUGAGAGGCGGCUCGCCCACACUGGGAGUGAGACACGCCCCAGCCUCCUGGGGGGGAGAGCAGUAGGGAUUCUGGGGCAAGGGGGGCAACCCUGACCGGGCAGCGCCGCGGGAGUAAAGAAGGUUUCCGGAUCGUAAAGCUCUGUUGAAGGUCAAGAGGGGGUGUGAGAGUGAAAAGUACACACUGUGAGGGUAGUUUACAAGAAAGAGCCGGCUAACUACGCC